rnacentral:rRNA from 1 species
UUUGUAGAAUGAACCGGCGAGUUACGUUCCCGUGCAAGGUUAAGGUGAGAAGCCGUAGCCGCAGCGAAAGCGAGUCUGAAUAGGGCGACUUAGUACGUGGGCGUAGACCCGAAACCGUGUGAUCUACCCCUGUCCAGGGUGAAGGUGCGGUAACACGCACUGGAGGCCCGAACCCACGAAUGUUGAAAAAUUCGGGGAUGAGGUGGGGGUAGCGGAGAAAUUCCAAUCGAACUCGGAGAUAGCUGGUUCUCCCCGAAAUAGCUUUAGGGCUAGCCUCGG